rnacentral:rRNA from 1 species
GAUGAACGCUGGCGGCGUGCCUAACACAUGCAAGUCGAGCGGAGAUAAGAAGAGUACUUGUACAAAUUUUAUCUUAGCGGCGGACGGGUGAGUAACACGUGAGUAACCUGCCUUUCACUGGGGAAUAACAUCGAGAAAUCGGUGCUAAUACCGCAUAACGUCACGAGAUCGCAUGGUUUUGUGACCAAAGGAGAAAUCCGGUGACAGAUGGACUCGCGUCCGAUUAGGUAGUUGGUGAGGUAAUGGCCCACCAAGCCUACGAUCGGUAGCCGAACGGAGAGGUUGAUCGGCCACAUUGGGACUGAGACACGGCCCAGACUCCUACGGGAGGCAGCAGUGGGGAAUAUUGGGCAAUGGGGGAAACCCUGACCCAGCAACGCCGCGUGAAGGAAGAAGGUCUUCGGAUUGUAAACUUCUUUUCUGGAGGAGCAUAAUGAGAGUACUUCAGGAAUAAGGAACGGCUAAUCACGUGCCAGCCGCCGCGGUAA